rnacentral:rRNA from 1 species
UGGGGAAUUUUGGACAAUGGGCGAAAGCCUGAUCCAGCAAUGCCGUGUGUGUGAAGAAGGCCUUCGGGUUGUAAAGCACUUUUGUCCGGAAAGAAAUCCUUGGCUCUAAUACAGUCGGGGGAUGACGGUACCGGAAGAAUAAGCACCGGCUAACUACGUGCCAGCAGCCGCGGUAAUACGUAGGGUGCAAGCGUUAAUCGGAAUUACUGGGCGUAAAGCGUGCGCAGGCGGUUUGCUAAGACCGAUGUGAAAUCCCCGGGCUCAACCUGGGAACUGCAUUGGUGACUGGCAGGCUAGAGUAUGGCAGAGGGGGGUAGAAUUCCACGUGUAGCAGUGAAAUGCGUAGAGAUGUGGAGGAAUACCGAUGGCGAAGGCAGCCCCCUGGGCCAAUACUGACGCUCAUGCACGAAAGCGUGGGGAGCAAACAGGAUUAGAUACCCUGGUAGUCCACGCCCUAAACGAUGUCAACUAGUUGUUGGGGAUUCAUUUCCUUAGUAACGUAGCUAACGCGUGAAGUUGACCGCCUGGGGGAGUACGGUCGCAAGAUUAAAACUCAAAUGAAUUGACGGGG